AGUGAACGCUGGCGGUAGGCCUAACACAUGCAAGUCGAACGGCAGCACAGUAAGAGCUUGCUCUUACGGGUGGCGAGUGGCGGACGGGUGAGGAAUACAUCGAAAUCUACUUUUUCGUGGGGGAUAACGUAGGGAAACUUACGCUAAUACCGCAUACGACCUACGGGUGAAAGCAGGGGAUCUUCGGACCUUGCGCGAUUGAAUGAGCCGAUGUCGGAUUAGCUAGUUGGCGGGGUAAAGGCCCACCAAGGCGACGAUCCGUAGCUGGUCUGAGAGGAUGAUCAGCCACACUGGAACUGAGACACGGUCCAGACUCCUACGGGAGGCAGCAGUGGGGAAUAUUGGACAAUGGGCGCAAGCCUGAUCCAGCCAUACCGCGUGGGUGAAGAAGGCCUUCGGGUUGUAAGCCCUUUUGUUGGGAAAGAAAGGCAGCAGGUUAAUACCCCGCUGUUCUGACGGUACCCAAAGAAUAAGCACCGGCUAACUUCGUG
rnacentral:rRNA from 1 species